AGAAAUCUUCAGCAUCCAGACUAUUUGCUGUUUCAGGAUGUGACACUCCUCACCAUUCCCAUUUUACCUAAAAUACCCAACCAAUGAAGGCAACCAUCUGCCAAGUCAUGAACCUUUGUACAUCUGAAUCCCCGUUGUGCAACUCCAGUUCUCCCACUCUGCCUGGAACCACGGCACGUCUGCACAGCCUGCCAGAGUGAACACAGACGGUCAAGUUCUCACCUGCCAAAGGAGAGACACGUGCGUUCCGGGCAGCAGUCAAUCACCAGAGAACUCAACCAACAGCUCCUAACCAGGCUCUCCGACUCCUGGGCCACCACCAGUUACUGUCUGAAACCCAGCUCUGAGCACACAAGUCCCACACCUCUCCCAGCUGCUGCAGAGAAAACACAAUGGUGGGACAACUGAGAAGUGCUUAGCAAUGCUUCUAUUAUCCUACUGCUCUGAUAACGACUGGAAACCUCUGGUGUGCCCAUUGUUCAUUUGAUAUAAAGUCUGAAUGCAUAAAACAGCACAUCUUUGCCACCUUCCAGCUCUGGGUCCCUGGGCAAGUGACUCUGUAUGUCUAAGCUCUGAGUUCCUCUUCUUUGAAAAAAAAAAAAAAAAAAAAAGUGGGGGAGCUGUGCUGGGCAGAUCUGUUGCAAGAGACAACUGUGCAGACAAAGUGUGAUCAUGCAUGGGAAAUGCAGUGUUUUAAUAAUUCAUUCUGAGCUCUCUACUUUCAUACCCCUGUGCCUUUGACUUUGUCAUUUCUCUGCCUAGAACGUUGGUACUGCUCUGUCUUUCCUUGCAGACAUCUACAAAGCUCAGCUCUAACAGCCGCCUUCCUUCUGUGCUCCCCCUCCUCUUUUCCCAGUCGGCCACCCCGAUCCAGGCAUGCACCUCACCAUGCUGAUGUCUCCACCUGCCCGAGCAGAGGCACCGUCCUAAGUGACUUGGUAGCACCCGUGCUCCUAAGCACUGUGCCUGGCAGCGAAGAGAAACAGCAAAUGGUCGCAACGCGAGGGAGCUUCUGUGCAGACAUAAAACAGCCACUCUGGACUCAGCUACUUCCUCAUAAAACUUUAAACUUUAUUGAUGAUUUUGGGGGAAUGUAGCUCGACUAUCCCAACCUCCCUUCUCUGUCUUGAACUGCGUUCUGUUGCUUAGAUUUAAUUAAUGAGUAGUAAUUACUCUGAUUUGCAGGCUCCAGUGCCCCCAAGGUAUUUGGAUAAAAGGUACAGUAAUUCUGGAUCAGCAACUCAGAAUACGAAUAGGCUUGAGGCUACCUAACAUAAUUCAUUUCCCUUUUAAUGAUCCGUCGUUUUAUUUUAGAACUUAACAAACACCCUGAUCUACAUCUCAGCAAACUUUCAGGAGAAAAGGUGCACCUUCCAUUCCUAACUACCAUUAUCUUUUGGCAUACAGAGUAAUAGAUUGAUCUGUCACUUGAUUAUUACUGCUCACAACUUGCUCCAGCUAGGUUCAUUACUCCAGAAUGAAUUAUUAAUGACUUGAGAUCUCUGUGUAUCCCAGAGAGAAAGAGCUAGACCUCAGCCUCUGCUGGCACCAGCCAUCCAUUAGAGCUUGAUGGAUUUACAGAUGUGUGGGAAGCAGGCUGGCAGGGCGCUGGGAAGCCGGUCCAGCAGAGGCCACGGGACUCAUUCAUUAGCGGGGCCCAUAAAACGCGGAGAGCCUGCUUUCUGUUUUGGUAACUGAGCUGCCUGAGCUCCUCCUCACAGCUCAGACAGUCGUGUCGAGUCUUGACUUAGAAUCCACACACAGCAUUUUCUUGUGCACUGCACACUGCACCCCAGGAGUCUUUGGCACAAGUUUUUCUGGCCCCUGUGUCCGCAUGGACCACUCUGCUGUGGCGCCUUCUGAGACGACCGCCAAGCUGGCAGUCUUCCUCUAAAGGCCGCAGAGACACACACAGGUGCACUGCAGUUUCCACUCAGGGAGGCUCAGUUCCUUCUGUGUUUGCUGCAUCUCCUGGGAAGCAGCCCACAUGCAGGGAAGAACCUGGGGCAUUUGCACCCCAUGGUACCCGCCACUCCCUCAUGCACGGCCAUCAAUGAGCAAAGAGCAGGUUUGGAGGAAAAUGGCCUUGGCAGAGGGGUCUCCCACCACUUCUGCUUUAAGGGAAAAUAGAUGAGGACUCUGUGUUGGUCUGACACCCCCUGAGAGGCCGGAGGAGGCAAAUCACUGCCAGAUGAGGGCGGUGGUGAUGAUGCUGGUAGGGGAGCAGAGAGGAGCUAACCCUUCUGGGUUCUCUAAAGCAGAGACCUUCAUGCUGUCACAGGGGUCACGUCUGCUUUACUGGAGUUUAAAUAAAAGCUCUGUGAAUGCUAGGCAGUACUGUACUGUGACAGACCAGCCCUGAAGGACUCCAACAACACACAGGCGUGUUGUGGGGUCAGCAAACAGCUUCCUCGUGAGGCCUGCAGCACCAGGUUGAGCAAACUCCAAGCUGAGCCUGAGCUCCACGGGACACUAUGAAGUGACGGGCUGGCCACGUCUGUGACGGGCGGAUGGUGCAGCACAGCCCGCCCCCACCCAUCUGUCGUCCUUGAUUUGCUUGCUUCACCCUCCAAUGUUGAAUCAAAAUGAGAACUUAGACUUGAGGGGGUUUAAUACUUGACAAAAAGCUCUGUAACAACUUUUUAUAUUGAUCUGACUUUCAUAAUAAAUCUAGAAUCUUAGCUCCCAAACGCAAGACAGAAAAUAUAUCUUACCACGCACGAUGGCGCCAGGACAUACGGACCUGCAUUCACACAUAAAUGCGUGUACACACACAUGUCAGAAAUGGAAUCUCAGAAAUGGUAUGCGUGAUGCAUUCUGGUACUUUUCUAUUCUAGUCUGCUUUUUAAUGUACUAAAAGGAUGUCACAACUCACUGAUGCACCAUGAAAUACAAUGCGAGAAACAGUGUAAGAGUACAGAGUGCAAAUAUUA